rnacentral:rRNA from 1 species
CACAUGACUCUCGGCAACGGAUAUCUCGGCUCUCGCAUCGAUGAAGAACGUAGCAAAAUGCGAUACCUGGUGUGAAUUGCAGAAUCCCGUGAACCAUUGAGUUUUUGAACGCAAGUUGCGCCUGAGGCCUUUUGGUUGAGGGCACGUCUGCCUGGGCGUCACGC